GAAUUGUACGUUAAUUCUAUUGAUUACUUAUGAAGUCCCAGUGAUCACUGGGAGGUCUGACAGCCUCUAGUUCCUAGAUCCAUCCCAGUGUUAUUAAAAUUGCUGUUCUGUUAGGAACCUCAAGGAGGCAAGUCGCAGCCCUCGCGCUGUAGGAACCUUCUAUGUUUGUAAUCGUGGAUCACACAUUUAGCAGAGUCCCAAACGCUCCAGCUCAGCCCGGGGGACAGCGGUAAUACAGAAGGUCUAUGUGAACCACCCUGUACUCGCGCUGCCCCUUGCAGAACAACCAGAAAUGUUAGUCACUAUCUUCCUCCUCACCAUCACCUUCCUCCUCAUCACCCUGGGCCUUGAUCUGGGCAGCCCCCAAAAGAUGCAUCUCACUCGCCUCCUGCCCACAGGCUGGGGUGCAACUUUUAUAACGUUGCACUGACACCUCUGUGCCUAAUGCCUAUUCAGUAAGGGCUUCUCCCCUCCUCCUUAUCUGUAUCUCCUCACCCUACCGAUGUCGGGGUCCCUUCUCCUGUAGGUUAGGAUGUUACUGAUCUCAGCUUAUUCUCAGACACAUCAAUUCCUUGCCAUGGCCGGCUUGUGGUCAGACAUCUGCAGACGUUGCCAUCCUACAAUAUCCCAAAGUCGGUGUUAGCUCCCGUCCCUGUGGCUGGCUGGUGUCGUUAUGGAGAAACCUCCCCCUUAAACACUCUGUUCCCAGGCCCCCCAAAGGUAGGGGCAAGUUGUGAUAAGUAAAGUUGGGGGGGAGCAGUGCCCUUUGAUGGACACCCAGCCAGCCAGUUAGCUGUCAAAUCCCUCUUGGUAGCUGGUCCCUACUUGCUUUACCUGUCAAGGGUUCAAAAGCCCCCCAGGUAAAGAAACGGAAGUGGGCACCUCACCAAAAGAGACAGCGGGAAGGUAGAACUUUUUCAAAUGGGGAAAGAAACUUUCCCUUUGUCUGUUGGUCUCUCUGGGCUGCGGGGACAGGAGCAGCCAGGCUAUACGCAGCAAUGCUGGGUAAGGUUUGAACCAGGUAUGAAAGAUCAUUUUCCAUUCCUAGCAGGACUCAUUGGGACAGGGAAUGUCCAGGUAGACGUGAUCAGAUUGUUUCUUUAUUUUGCUUGUGGACUCCUCUGUGCUAACCCCAGGUGCUUCUGUUUGCUUGUAACCUUUAAGCUGAAUCCCAAGAAGCUAUUCUGAGUGCUUGGUUUUUGGAACUGCUCUUUUAAAAACUAGCAAAAGCCGAAGUUCCAGACGUAUUUUCUUUCUUUUUGUUUUGAAUAAAAUUUACCGUUUUAAAGGACA